rnacentral:tRNA from 1 species
GGGGCUGUAGUUCAGUGGUAGAGUACCCACCUUUCAUGUGUGAAGCACUGGGUUCAAUCCUCAGCACCA